ACCAGCCCACACAGGCAAAGAGGAGGCAGCUAGCUCCUCCAUGGGGGCCAGAAGCUGACGUACUGCCUUUGCGCAUGUCAGCAGUCAUGAUGCCUCAGAUUGAUUACCUCCUCUGGUCUGAGCUACCAAAACCACAAGAUGCAGCUGCACCCCCAACCUGUGCAUUUUGGAGCUAAUUUCUACCAGGGCAUUCUCUCUGGGAGGAGCUGGAAUGUAUGCACAGAUAGGAUGUCUUUGAUAAGAUUCUACAUUUGGAACCAGUGACCCGCCCCCACUCCUAAAAACAUUCCCUUUGUGGGAUGUGAUGCCAUUUCUACAACCAUCUGUCUUCACUUGACACAGGAAGUACUAGGGCCUGCAUGGUUAACACAGGCUGUUUCUCUUCUGCUCUACAUUCUUUAAGGGCCCUCUUUGCCUUCUCCAGCCAUUUCUUCACCCUAGUGACCAGGAGCUCCCUCAGAACUUGUCCUGUGUGUCUCACCCUCACCCCAUCCCUAUGCCAGAGCACUGGCCAGAGGCAGCAGCCCCCCCUUGGAAACAGACGGGACAUUUUCUCUGG
rnacentral:lncRNA from 1 species